rnacentral:rRNA from 1 species
AGUGAACGCUGGCGGUAGGUCUAACACAUGCAAGUCGAACGGCAGCACAGUAAGAGCUUGCUCUUACGGGAGGCGAGUGGCGGACGGGUGAGGAAUACAUCGGACUCUACUUUUUCGUGGGGGAUAACGUAGGGAAACUUACGCUAAUACCGCAUACGACCUACGGGUGAAAGCAGGGGAUCUUCGGACCUUGCGCGAUUGAAUGAGCCGAUGUCGGAUUAGCUAGUUGGCGGGGUAAAGGCCCACCAAGGCGACGAUCCGUAGCUGGUCUGAGAGGAUGAUCAGCCACACUGGAACUGAGACACGGUCCAGACUCCUACGGGAGGCAGCAGUGGGGAAUAUUGGACAAUGGGCGCAAGCCUGAUCCAGCCAUACCGCGUGGGUGAAGAAGGCCUUCGGGUUGUAAAGCCCUUUUGUUGGGAAAGAAAAGCAGCAGGUUAAUACCCCGCUGUUCUGACGGUACCCAAAGAAUAAGCACCGGCUAACUUCGUG